GUGCCAGCAGCCGCGGUAAUACGUAGGUGGCAAGCGUUGUCCGGAAUUAUUGGGCGUAAAGCGCGCGCAGGCGGUUCCUUAAGUCUGAUGUGAAAGCCCACGGCUCAACCGUGGAGGGUCAUUGGAAACUGGGGAACUUGAGUGCAGAAGAGGAAAGUGGAAUUCCCAAGUGUAGCGGUGAAAUGCGUAGAGAUUUGGAGGAACACCAGUGGCGAAGGCGACUUUCUGGUCUGUAACUGACGCUGAGGCGCGAAAGCGUGGGGAGCAAACAGGAUUAGAUACCCUGGUAGUCC
rnacentral:rRNA from 1 species